ensembl:lncRNA
AUUGUACCCAGGGAUUUUAAGCUUUGAUCACUUUCAAAUGGCAUGUACAUGCACACACAUGAGCGUCUCUAAACAGAGAGACUGAGCUGGAGACUACAAGAGAAGCUUUAUUCCAAUUUCUGCUCUGCCGGAACUCUCGUCUAAGAUCACUGACUUGCCUGGCAGUGGUGUUCAGGAUUUUUAAAGGAAGAUUAGCCCUGAGCUAACAUCCACCACCAAACCUCCUCUUUUUGCUGAGGAAGACUGGCCCUGAGCUAACAUCAAUGCCCAUCUUCGUCCACUUUAUAUGUGGGAUGCCUACCGCAACAUGGCUGGACAAACGGUGCAUAGAUUUGCACCCAGGAUCUGAACCGGUGAACCGCAGGUCGCUGAAGGGUAACAUGCGAACUUAACUGCUGCGCCACUGGACUGGCCCCUCUAAGCGUUAUUUUUUAAACAAAUAUUUGGAGAGAAUCUUCAAUUGCCACGCACUUUUCUAGAAACUCUGGGAGACGUGAAGAAGAAUGAAAAACUGCUCUUGAGCUUAAGGAGCUGCAGUUGAGCAAGAAACCGACUCUUGCGAGUGCAAAAAAUCAACAUAUGAGAAGUGUGUUAAAAUAAAUAAUUACAAAUUAUUGGAGGAUUUAUGAUAAAAUGGUAUCACUUUAGAUUGGAACAUUGGGUAAAAUUCCAUGGAUGAGAUUGCCUUUGGGACACAUCUAAAAGGCUGCUGGUGAAAGAUUACGGACUCAUCCUUCAAUGAGUUCUAUAGCUUGGAGGAAACGGAGGAAAUGCCAGAUGGUUAGAGUUUAUGCACAGGAUACAUACCCUUGCCUUCACUGAAUUUUGCCUCAAGAGUCAUAGUAACCAGCUGAGUGAAAGUCCUGAGAGCGUGACUUCAGCAGACACCGCCCGGGGGAUUUCAGCCAAGAAGCUAGAAGAGUAGAGGGAAAAUUAUUUUUCCUCCCCUACACAAUUAAAAUCUAAAAGGCACAGUGCUCACAGGAGAAGAGAUGAAGCACGAGCAUCAAAGGCACAGGCCCUGGGAAGCACAGUUAUCACAUGUUCACAUACAUAUUUUUUAAAUUUGCAAAAGGAAAAUACUGUAAGCAAAACCGGUUACUAUCACUGCCUCCUCAACUCCAACUUCUCCUAUAUCACAUUCCUGUCAUGUCAAGUGGCCUUAGACCAGCAAUUUUAGAGUCCAGCUGAGGGACAGUUGCAUGAGAGAUAUUUGUAGUUUCCAUUUAGUGGAUAUAAUUCUGGGCCUACAGUCAUAUCUGUGUGUAGAUGUGUUUUGAUUAGUCAUCUUGGUGUAGAAAUGGCUUCUGGGACUGUUCUCACCCUUGACCUGGCACUCACCUGGCAAACUGACAUGAAGGUGUGGGGCCAAAGGUCAUGCUGCAUAGUGAACAUAUUCCUAAAUGCUUAGCACUGGAAGUAAGUGAAUAAUAUAGUAGAGAUGAGGUUUGAAGCUCAGAUAACCAGAACUUACUUUUUGAAAAUUUAUAGCUCAUAUGUGAAAAAAACUUGAUCGAAAUAUUUCCAAAUUUGGAAACAGUCCUGAAAGUUUUCUUGGUGUUACAAAAUUUAUGCUGUGAAGCUUGAGAAAUUUUUUAUGCAAAGAAUAAUGAAAUUAUAUUUCAAUGAACAAUGUGACAGAAAACAUGACCACUUUUUCAGAGGGGAGAAGUUGGAAGCAGCUAGAAAGGGGUUAGAGUCAGGGGCUGUGAGCAGGGAAAACAGCAAGUUGAGAAGUUGUACUCACACCUUUUGCAGCAGGCAGGGCUGUAAUUUUAAAGUGAAAGGUUUCCAUGGCCACUGCUGGGCAAUUUGCAUUAGCAUUGUAUAUUGCUGGCAUUUUAAGUUAAAAUUACUGCCUUGGUUCAACUCGCACUGUACUUACUAAAAGAUUCUGCUACCUUACCAUUGAGAGCUACUAGUCCCCCAAAAUUGGCUUAGAUAUUUUGGUAGAACAAUUUUUACCUUUUCUUCUUCUUUUUCUUAAAUUUUCCACCACUUCUGCCUCAUGUAUGAGUUUUUCAGUCUUUCUCAGAAAGAAUACUCCAGCAGUGGGGAUAGUGUUCAUUUUCAAAAGGGUUUACGGUGUUCAAUGACAUAGAAGGUCACUUGCCAUGUUUAUGGCUGUCCCUGGGAACUCCCAUAAGGUCGGAGAAAUUGUAUCUACCUAUCAAGAGUCUUAUAAUUUCUAUAAAUAAAAUUAUGUAUCCAUCUUUAUGUAUUACUGCAUUACCCCAGAUAUGGCUGGCUGAAUACCUAGCCAAAUUGUUAGGAUACGUUUGGGAUGGCAUGCUUUAAAAUAUAAGUCAUGUGGGCAUAUAUAUAUUCUUUUCAGAGUACCAGCAUUCCUAUACAGUAGUAUGAAAUCUAUACACCUGUGUGUGUGUGUGUCUGUGUGUGUGUAUUUAGAGAACAGUGUGACACAUCAUUUUGAAAAGUCAAUGAGGUGAACUGAGAAAUAUACAUUCAACUUUUUUCCCCCCAAAUGAAGGACUACAUGUGUUUAUUAAUUUUCUAGUUGGUUGCUUUUAUUUUUUCCUGUGGAUAGAGAUAAGAAUAUAUAUCUAACAAAAGUGCAUCAUGAACUCAAAAAACCUUAGAUCCCUAUCAGCAAAAAUAUUUUUUAAGAAGAUACAUUUGAAAGAAUCUGAUAUUGGGGUGGAGAUAUGCGCUAUCAAGGGCAAAAGAGAUAGAGCAAAUUUUUGCAACCCAGAGAGAGAGGCUGUCAUUGUCCUUAGGAGAUAAAACCGAAGCCAAACAAGUGGGCUCUGGGACUGUGGACUGGAAGUGGUAUUUUCUAGCUUGUUUGGGUGAACGAUAGUCCAGAAAGAGCAAUGUCUGGUUAAUAAUAAGAAGAGACUCCUCAGUAGCAGUUUGCCAAACACCAGAACCAAAGAUGAUUUCCAACAUGAUUUAAUCCCUAUUUUGCUAAGAAAACAGUUAAGAAGGGUCACUGUAGCAAAUUCGCCAUUAAUUUAAACUCUGAUUUGGAAAAGGGAAGUGAAGUUACAAGCUGGACCAAUGGCAGGUCAGGUUUGAAUCAAUUAUUGCGCUCCCAGGAGAAAGGUUUUAUCUUUUAAAAUCCAAAUGUUAGAAAAAUGGCAUUCAAAUCUACACCAGUGUACGUUAAUAGAUUGUUAAAGAAAGAGAGUGAAUAUAUACCUCUGAAUUGUCACUAAUUUCCUCAAAGUAGGAAUUUAUAUUUUAAAUUUUUAAAAUUUUCUUCUUUCCUCCUCCUUUCUUCCUUUCUUUGUCUCUCUGACUCUCUGUUUAUGGAAAAUCACUGAUGGAGUUCAGGGCAGGCUACCCCAGAAUGUACCACUUUGGCAUGUGGAUUGUUUCAAGCUGAAGACAAUCAAGGCUCAACAGACUCAAGAACAGCUUUUACUUGUCUCUUAACUGCCUAAAAUAAUUUAGAUAAGGAGCCUGUACCAGGAAGAGAGCCAUUAGCGGAGAUAACUUCUUAUAUCAGAAAGACUUAUGCGCAUGACAUGGCAACCGUUUGUUUACCAAAUAUUUGCUCUUCCCAUCUUCCUGUGAAUCGUAUUCCUUCCCUUUGAAGCCUCAGACCCCUCUUCCCUUCUCCUUAACUCAGAAUGACUUAUAGGUUUCAAUUAUCUGACUGUCUGAGAGCCUGUCACAUCUUUGUGGGGCGCUUGUAUGUACAGAAUUAAAUUUGUUUUUCUCCUGUCAAUCUGUCUGAUGUCAAUUUAAUUACGAGGCAAGCCAAAGAACCUAGAAAGAAAGAUGGAAAAAGUUUUCCUCCUGUAUAUCACCAAAAAAAGAAGAAAAGCAGCUGCCUUCUCUCUCAUCAUCCAGUAGAGAACCAGGCCACUUCUCUUCACCACUGUCCUGAUUCUACGAGAAAUUCUCUGGUAUGGAGAAAACCAUCUGGGAAAACCUACUCACCACAGUAAAGGAAUGGAGGGCUCUCUUUGUAAUCUUGUAAUUCCAUUCACUAGAGAGUGAUGUUUUUAUGUUUGUGAAAUAGAUAGUGGUAUAUGUGUUUUUACUUCUAGAAAGUGAAAAAUAAAAUGAGUCAGCCUCUUAAAUGUCUCUCUUAUUAAUCCCUAUAUUUUUCUAUAAUCCAAAUAUUCAGAAAGACAUUUUCUGGUUUUACCCUGGAAAGUCCAGCAACCUGAAUGCAAAAUCUAUUAUAUGUGAAUCUCUGGCUCAAAAGUCUUCAUUGGUGUCCUGCUGUCUCCUAGAUUAAAUGUAAACUACUUAUCAUAGAAGCCAGAUGUGAAAACUGCACACAGAUUCAGAAAUCCACUAAUUCAGAAUGAAUGGGAUAAGGACAGAGAGAAACAAAUUUAAGAAGAUUCUAUCCUGAGUGUUCACCAGAAGUCAUUUACCUGGAUGUCCCCAAUUCCGCCAGACUGUUUGGCUCAUCUACUUUUUCAUUUCUUAAUACAAUUAUCUUCAAGGCUUUUUUGUUUAUAUGCUGGGGCACGGAACAAUGUUUCUAACAUAUCAGGAAAUUUUGGAGGGGUGUAUAUUUUCCUCUAAUUUCUCACUUCUGAUACAGUCUUGUUACAUGAUACUUGCUUUGAGUUUGGCUUCCUUUUUUUUUUAAACUGUUUUUGGAGAGGGUUUUAAUUUUUUUUUUUAAAGAUUGGCACCUGAGCUAACAACUGUUGCCAAUCUUCUUUUUUAUGUUUUUAUUCUUCUCCCCAAAGCCCCCCAGUACAUAGUUGUAUAUUCUGGCUGUAAGUGGCUCUGGCUGUGCUAUGCGGGAUGCUGCCUCAGCAUGGCUUGAUGAGCGGUGCCAUGUCCGUGCCCAGGAUCCGAACCGGCGAAACCCUGGGCUGCCGAAGCAGAGUGCGUGAACUUAACCACUUGGCCACGGGGCCGGCCCCUGAGUUUGGCUUCUUAAGCAUCUAUCUCUUGUCCAUUCGAAGUUUGUGUGCUAGGCAGAAGGUUAUAUGAAAAGUUUGAGUCAAUGAAAGAGGAAAUUAUUAUAUAUCAUAGCCUCCACCCAAACAAAAUUUAGUUUUAACAAUCCUUAUUUCUUAUGAGUCCCUCAGCCUUCUCUCCCUGUAGAGACACCGCGUCCAGUCCUGUAACUCGACCCCGUUCUCUGCUUCCCUUGACUCUUGAGCCUUUUCUGACUCAAAUCCAUAUCCGUGUCCAUUAAAGCAGGGUGACUACCUCUCUGUGCUGCUUAAGCUUUUGUCAAGACCAUUGCCUGGACAUAUCAUCUAAGGAAACUUUCAUUAGCUACCUGCUUCCAACUGAAUCCUUGAAAGUUAUGAUAGUACCAGAAAUUUCAAAUUCAGCCAAUGCUGUCCAUGUAUUUUUAAAUACAUCUUAGUCAAUUGGAAAGAAAAAU